AAGACACUAGUUAAAAGCGCGAUGACAUUGCCCUGCCAGGGCGAAGGUGUAGGUUGAAAUCCUGCGUGUCUUA
rnacentral:tRNA from 1 species